GACAGAGGGUGCAAACGUUGUACGGAAUUACUGGGCGUAAAGCGAGUGUAGGCGGUCUGAAAAGUCGGGUGUGAAAGCCCUGGGCUCAACCCAGGAAGUGCACUCGAAACUGCCAGGCUAGAGUAUCGGAGAGGUUGGUGGAAUUCUCGGUGUAGAGGUGAAAUUCGUAGAUAUCGAGAGGAACACCGGUGGCGAAGGCGGCCAACUGGACGAAUACUGACGCUGAGACUCGAAAGCGUGGGGAGCAAACAGG
rnacentral:rRNA from 1 species